rnacentral:rRNA from 1 species
UAGUCCACGCCGUAAACGAUGGAUACUAGCUGUCUGGAACCUUGAGUUCUAGGCGGCCAAGCGAAAGUGAUAAGUAUCCCACCUGGGGAGUACGUUCGCAAGAAUGAAACUCAAAGGAAUUGACGGGGGCCCGCACAAGCGGUGGAGCAUGUGGUUUAAUUCGAUGAUACGCGAGGAACCUUACCAGGGCUUAAAUGUGGUUUGACAGCUUUAGAGAUAGAGUUUCCUUCGGGCAAAUCACAAGGUGCUGCAUGGUUGUCGUCAGCUCGUGCCGUGAGGUGUCAGGUUAAGUCCUAUAACGAGCGCAACCCCCUGCCGUUAGUUGCCAGCAUGUAAAGAUGGGGACUCUAACGGGACUGCCGGUGCAAACCGUGAGGAAGGUGGGGAUGACGUCAAAUCAUCACGGGCCCUUACGGUCCUGGGGCCACACACGUGCUACAAUGGGUAGGUACAGAGAGCAGCCAUGUCGCAA